AGUGAACGCUGGCGGUAGGCCUAACACAUGCAAGUCGAACGGCAGCACAGUAAGAGCUUGCUCUUACGGGUGGCGAGUGGCGGACGGGUGAGGAAUACAUCGGAAUCGACUUUUUCGUGGGGGAUAACGUAGGGAAACUUACGCUAAUACCGCAUACGACCUACGGGUGAAAGCAGGGGAUCUUCGGACCUUGCGCGAUUGAAUGAGCCGAUGUCGGAUUAGCUAGUUGGCGGGGUAAAGGCCCACCAAGGCGACGAUCCGUAGCUGGUCUGAGAGGAUGAUCAGCCACACUGGAACUGAGACACGGUCCAGACUCCUACGGGAGGCAGCAGUGGGGAAUAUUGGACAAUGGGCGCAAGCCUGAUCCAGCCAUACCGCGUGGGUGAAGAAGGCCUUCGGGUUGUAAAGCCCUUUUGUUGGGAAAGAAAAGCAGCAGGUUAAUACCCCGCUGUUCUGACGGUACCCAAAGAAUAAGCACCGGCUAACUUCGU
rnacentral:rRNA from 1 species